rnacentral:rRNA from 1 species
GACGCCGCGUGAGUGAUGAAGGCCUUCGGGUUGUAAAGCUCUGUGGGGAGGGACGAAAGACUGAGGUCUAAUAGGCUUCAGGUUGACGGUACCUCCUUAGCAAGCACCGGCUAACUCUGUGCCAGCCCCUGCGGUGACUGAGCGGGCUGGCAAGGCGCAUA